rnacentral:lncRNA from 1 species
CCCAUGGUCAUACCCAAAAUCAACUUCCUUGGAAGUGCACCCUCCCCAUGGAGGAUAAGGGAGAUUUCACCAAGCCUUUGCAGAGUUCAGACAUGCGUGCCUACAAAACGGAAGUAAAGACUUAAGCUGAUUCCCACGAAAGCAGUCAAGAUGCAGGGAAGAAGGUAUUGAGAACUUACGACUGCCCUGCAAAAUAUGUCCUGAAAAAGGACUGAUGUUCCUGGAGUCCAGAAUGCAACUGGCACCAGAGCAGAGUUGAAUGAUUGUUAUAGUUUUCUUGUAUCGGGAUCUUAGCUCCUAAUGACAGCUUCUGAGAACUACUCUGGUUGAAAUAUGAAGCCACAAAAGGGCAUUAGUAGGUGAAGUCUGGACAAUUCCUUCCAUGUCACUGUUUCUCCCUGGCUACCUGGUCUCCCUGUGGAGACAGAAAUUUAGAGAACAGAAUUAGAAAGCCAAGAGGGGUGAGGCAUAAGGGAGAGUCCUCCAAAUGCCGAUUCGGCAAAUUUUAACUUUUUCAGCUAUAAACCUUUCAAUACCUCAAAAUAAAUCCUUCAAUUUUAUAUGAGAGUUUGGUUUCUGCAGCUGUAGAUUUAUGCAGUGUGCUGAGGCCAGGCCAAAAGAAGUGAACAUAAACGAUGUGACAGAUAGCGUAAGGAUGUUAUUCAGCUUCUCACUCCGGCAUGGCUCACUUAAGAACUUUCCAAAUGUCAAGCAUAACCCCUCUCACUAAUUAGCUGCUAAAGCAGCUGAUCUUCUGCCAUGGACAUGUGUUCCAACUGCACAACUGCAGGCCCUCAGCUUGAGAGGUGCUGCAGAAAGCAGUACACUUCCUCAACCCUGGCCUGGGUCUGAGACACAUAGCCCAACACAUCACCCCAAGCAUCACUGGUGCAGACGCAUCUGUUGACCACAGGCCUGCCCUCUCUGUGUGCCAAGUCCUGCUUCUUGGUUGCUCAUGGGAAAUGGAGUACUGAAAUAUAAUGUGCUUCAGGAGCCAGCUAUAUUUACUAGGAAAUUAUUUAAGACAACAAGACAGUGUAGAACAAAAUAAACCUAUCACCAUAUUGCCUUGAUUGAAUUGCUUAAGAAUAAAUUAACUAAUAGUUUUUGGAAAUUAUUAUGAAUCAGGCUCUGUGCUAGUUUUCUCCUAAGUAUCUUAGUUAAACUUUUUAAUAACAGAGCAAAGUAGACAGUGUCAACUUCAUUCUGCAGAGGAAGAAACUAAAGAUCAAAGAGGUUGAAUGCUGUCUUAGUCCAUCGUAUGCUGCCGUAACAGAAUGCUUGAGACAGAGUGAUUUAUUAGGAACAGAAAUUUAUUUUCUUGAGGUUCUGGAGGCUGGCAAGUCCUAGAUCACGGCAAGAUUUACCUGGUGGGAGCUACAUCCUCACAUUGUGGAAGGAAGGGCAGGAGGCCCAAAUGCUUUGUGAAGCCUCUUUUGUAAGGGCGUUAAUCCCAUUCGCAAAGGAGAAGCCCUCACGGCCUGAUCACCUCUUAAAUGCCUACCACUUAAUACUAUCACAUUGACAACAACUGAAUUUUAGAGGGUGCACAUUCAAACAAUAGUAAAUGCCUCACCUGAAAAGCAUCCAGGUAGACAUUUGACAAAUGACCCUGUCUCCUUUAUCUUCAACAUCAUGUGAUUAACUUGAUAAUUAUUUCAAAAAUAGCAACCUAUAAAUAGGAAACUGAAAAUUUUUAUCUAGGUAAAAUUUUUAGAAGAGACCUAAGUUGUUUCUCAUCCAUGAAAACCAUGAAGGCUUUAUCAUCAGAGCUUCAACAAGAGAGUGGAAUUUAUUAACAAUGACUUGGACCACUUUUUAUGCAAUUUUAAUUUUUUCAUAGUUUCAUGUGUGUGAGUUCCACUUCUAGCCAAAAUGAAAUAAAAAGAACCAUAUUUUUUUCAAACUACCCAUCUGACAAGGGGUUAAUAACUGGAAUAUAUAAGGAGCUCAAACAACUCUAUAGAAAAAAAAAUCUAAUAAUCCAAUCAAACAAUGGGCAAAAGAUUUGAAUAGACAUUCCAUGAAAGAAGAAAUAUAAAUGGCAAACAGACAUAUGAAAAGGUGCUCAAAAAUCAUUGAUCAUCAGAGAAAUGCAAAUCAAAACUACAAUAGGAUAUCAUCUUACCCCAGUUAAAAUGGCUUUUAUCCAAAAGACAGGCAAUAACAAAUCCUGGUGAGGAUGUGGAGAAAAGGGAACCUUUGUACACUGUUGGUAAGAAUGUAAAUUAGUAAAACCACUAUGGAGAACAGUUUGGAGGUUCCUCAGAAAACUAAAAAUAGAGCUACCAUAUGAUACAGCAAUCCCACUGCUGGGUGUAUACUCAAAAGAAAGAAAAUCAGUGCAUUAAAGAGAUAUCUGCAUUCCCACGUUUUUUAUAACUCUGUUCACAAUAGCCAAGAUUUGGGAGCAACCUAAGUGCCUGUGAAUAGAUGAGUGGAUAAAGAAAAUGUGGUACUUCUACACAAUGGAGUACUAUUCAGCCAUAAAAAAAAGAAAAUGAGAUUUAGUCAUUUGAGAAAACAUGGAUGGAACUGGAAGUCAUUAUGUUAAGUGAAAUAAGCCAGGCACAGAAAGACAAACAUCACAUGUUCUCACAUAUUUGCGGGAUCUGAAAAUCAAAACCAUUGAACUCAUGGAGAUAGAGGGUAGAAGGACAGUUACCAGAGGCUGGGAAGGGUAGUGGGGGUGUGAUGGGAAGGUGGGGAUUGUUAAUGGGUACAAAAAAAUAGAAUGAAUGAAUAAGGCCUAGAGUUUGAUAGCACAAUAGGGUGACUAUAGUCAAUAAUUUAAUUGUACAUUUUAAAAUAACUAAAAGAGUGGAAUUGGAUUGUUUGUAACACAAAGGAUAAAUGCUUGAGGGAAUGGAUACCCCUUAAUGGGAUUAUUAUGCAUUUCAUGCUUGUAUCAAAACAUCUCAUGUAACAUAUAAAUAUAUACACCUACUAUGUGCUUACAGAAAUUUAAAAUAAACAAUUUUUGGCUGGGCGCCAUGGCUCAGGCCUGUAAUUCCAGCACUUUGGGAGGCCAAGGCAGGUA